GACGUAGGGCGCGAGCGUUGUCCGGAUUUAUUGGGCGUAAAGAGCUCGUAGGCGGCUUGUCGCGUCGUUCGUGAAAACUCACAGCUCAACUGUGAGCUUGCGGUCGAUACGGGCAGGCUAGAGUUCGGUAGGGGAGACUGGAAUUCCUGGUGUAGCGGUGAAAUGCGCAGAUAUCAGGAGGAACACCGGUGGCGAAGGCGGAUCUCUGGGCCAUUACUGACGCUGAGGAGCGAAAGCGUGGGGAGCGAACAGG
rnacentral:rRNA from 1 species